UACGAAGGGGCUAGCGUUGCUCGGAAUCACUGGGCGUAAAGGGCGCGUAGGCGGCCAUUCAAGUCGGGGGUGAAAGCCUGUGGCUCAACCACAGAAUUGCCUUCGAUACUGUUGGCUUGAGUAUGGUAGAGGUCAGUGGAACUGCGAGUGUAGAGGUGAAAUUCGUAGAUAUUCGCAAGAACACCAGUGGCGAAGGCGGCUGACUGGACCUUAUGACGCUGGAGGCGCGAAAGCGUGGGGAGCAAACAGG
rnacentral:rRNA from 1 species